AGCGAACGCUGGCGGCAGGCUUAACACAUGCAAGUCGAGCGGGCCCUUCGGGGUCAGCGGCGGACGGGUGAGUAACGCGUGGGAACGUGCCCUCUGGUCUGGAAUAACCCUGGGAAACUAGGGCUAAUACCGGAUACGCCCUUUUGGGGAAGGGCUUGCUGCCGGAGGAUCGGCCCGCGUCUGAUUAGCUAGUUGGUGGGGUAACGGCCUACCAAGGCGACGAUCAGUAGCUGGUCUGAGAGGAUGAUCAGCCACACUGGGACUGAGACAUGGCCCAGACUCCUACGGGAGGACGCAGUGGGGAAUAUUGGACAAUGGGCGCAAGCCUGAUCCAGCCAUGCCGCGUGAGUGAUGAAGGCCUUAGGGUUGUAAAGCUCUUUUAUCCGGGACGAUAAUGACGGUACCGGAGGAAUAAGCCCCGGCUAACUUCGUGCCAGCCGCCGCGGUAA
rnacentral:rRNA from 1 species